UACGUAGGGUGCAGGCGUUAAUCGGAAUUACUGGGCGUAAAGCGUGCGCAGGCGGUCUCUUAAGACAGGUGUGAAAUCCCCGAGCUUAACUUGGGAACUGCGCUUGUAACUGAGAGGCUAGAGUGUGGCAGAGGGGGGUGGAAUUCCACGUGUAGCAGUGAAAUGCGUAGAGAUGUGGAGGAACACCGAUGGCGAAGGCAGCCCCCUGGGCUAACACUGACGCUCAUGCACGAAAGCGUGGGGAGCAAACAGG
rnacentral:rRNA from 1 species